GAUGGACGCUGGCGGCGUGCUUAACACAUGCAAGUCGAACGAUGAAGCCCAGCUUGCUGGGUGGAUUAGUGGCGAACGGGUGAGUAACACGUGAGUAACCUGCCCUUGACUCUGGGAUAAGCGCUGGAAACGGCGUCUAAUACCGGAUACGAGCUUCCACCGCAUGGUGAGUUGCUGGAAAGAAUUUCGGUCAAGGAUGGACUCGCGGCCUAUCAGGUAGUUGGUGAGGUAACGGCUCACCAAGCCGACGACGGGUAGCCGGCCUGAGAGGGUGACCGGCCAAACUGGGACGGAGCAAGGGCCCAGACUCCUACGGGAGGCAGAGGUGGGGAAUAUUGCACAAGGGGCGCAAGCCGGAUGCAGAAACGCCGGGUGGGGGACGAAGGCCUUCGGGUCGUAAACCUUUUUUAGCAGGGAAGAAGCGAAAGUGACGGUACCGGAAGAAAAAGCACCGGCAAACUACGU
rnacentral:rRNA from 1 species